ensembl:miRNA
CCAGAACCUCCGGGUUCGGGGUCCGGGUUCGGUGCCCGGGGACGGAGCGGUUCUGCAG